rnacentral:rRNA from 1 species
UACGGAGGGUGCGAGCGUUGUCCGGAAUCACUGGGCGUAAAGGGCGCGUAGGCGGCCUGAUAAGUAGGGGGUGAAAUCCUGCGGCUUAACCGCAGGGCUGCCUUCUAAACUGUCAGGCUGGAGCACAGUAGAGGCAGGUGGAAUUCCCGGUGUAGCGGUGGAAUGCGUAGAGAUCGGGAAGAACAUCAGUGGCGAAGGCGGCCUGCUGGGCUGUUGCUGACGCUGAGGCGCGAAAGCGUGGGGAGCAAACAGGGAUUAAGAAACC